CAAUAGCGUAUGUUAAAGUUGUUGCAGUUAAAAAGCUCGUAGUUGGAUUUCUGGUCGGAAGCUCCUGUCCUCUGAUGAGCGUACAAGUGCGUCCUACCAUCCUUCUGUUAACCUUUAAGGCUUUCGCGGCUUUCUAGGGGCUCAGAUAUUUUACCUUGAGAAAAUUAGAGUGUUUCAGGCAGGCUAGCGCCGGAAUACAUUAGCAUGGAAUAAUGGAAUAGGACUUUUGCCUCUUCUGUUGGUCAUGAGGCUCGAGUAAUGAUUAAUAGGGAUAGUUGGGGGCAUUAGUACUUAACUGUCAGAGGUGAAAUUCUCGGAUUUGUUAAAGACUAACUUAUGCGAAAGCAUUUGCCAAGGAUGUUUUCAUUAA
rnacentral:rRNA from 1 species